rnacentral:misc_RNA from 1 species
GGAGGAUGUUGAGGCGAAGAGGCACAGUCUCACAGCAGUGAAGAGGAGAGGAGAUGUCGACUAGCUGAGAGCAUAAAAUCUGAGAAGACGAGACAACGACGACAACAAGAGGACGGUAUUGACGUCGCAAAUGUAGGUGAAGACAGAGAUAAGUGGAUUAAGGAUGGGACCCUGUAGGGACUUGGUACAUAAAGCGUGAGAAUGAUAAAAACUCGCUGUCGGCCGCUGUCACGAGGUCGCAAGGAGAAGCAGUUGCGCGGGAUGGCCAGAUGGGGCAUGGGGGGAUGGCCG